rnacentral:rRNA from 1 species
UCCGCGCUGGACCAUUUCUAAGUCUGUUGAAAAAUAGCAUCAUUGAGGGUGAUAAUCCCGUUCAUGAUAUGGACUACCAGUGCAAUGUGAUACAGCUUCUAAGAGUCGAGUUGUUUGGGAAUGCAGCUCAAAGUGGGUGGUAAAUUCCAUCUAAGGCUAAAUAUAGGUGAGAGACCGAUAGCAUACAAGUACCGUGAGGGAAAGAUGAAAAGAACUUUGGAAAGAGAGUUAACAGUACGUGAAAUUGUUGUAAGAGAAACAAUUAAAGUUAGCCUUGUGCUUGUUAGUUCAGCUCUUUAACUAGGGUGUAUUCUAAUGAUGUCACGGACCAACAUCAGUUUUUGGGUGCUGGAUAAGGGCUCCAGAAAUGUAGCAGUUUUGGCUGUGUUAUAGUCUGGGGUUUGGAUACAGUGCUUGGGACUGAGGAUAUCUGCAGCAAGCCAGUCACAUGGCCGCCCUUUUGAAGGGUUCCCUGCUGAGGAUGUUGGUGUCAAUAGCUUUAAAUGACCCGUCUUGAAACACGGACCAAGGAGUCUAACAUGCUUGCGAGUAUUUGGGUGUUGAAACCCUGAUGCGAAAUUAACGUAAAUGUAAAUGGGAUCCUUUAUUGGUGCACCAUUGACCAGUCCUGAUUAUUUAUAUGAAGGUACUGAGUAAGAGCAAGUAUGUUGGGACCCGAAAGAUGGUGAACUAUGCCUGAAUAGGGUGAAGCCAGAGGAAACUCUGGUGGAAGCUCGUAG